rnacentral:rRNA from 1 species
AGUGAACGCUGGCGGUAGGCCUAACACAUGCAAGUCGAACGGCAGCACAGUAAGAGCUUGCUCUUACGGGUGGCGAGUGGCGGACGGGUGAGGAAUACAUCGGAAUCUACUUUUUCGUGGGGGAUAACGUAGGGAAACUUACGCUAAUACCGCAUACGACCUACGGGUGAAAGCAGGGGAUCUUCGGACCUUGCGCGAUUGAAUGAGCCGAUGUCGGAUUAGCUAGUUGGCGGGGUAAAGGCCCACCAAGGCGACGAUCCGUAGCUGGUCUGAGAGGAUGAUCGGCCACACGGGAAGUAGGGCACGGACCAGACUCCUACGAGAGGCAGCAGUGGGGAGUAUUGGACAAUGGGCGCAAGCAUGAACCAGCCAUACAGCGUGGAAGAAGAAGGCCUUCGGAUUGUGAAGCCCUUUUGUUGGGAAAGAAAAGCAGCAGGUUAAUAACCCGCUGUUCUGACGGUACCCAAAGAAUAAGCACCGGCUAACUUCGUG